UCCCCGUUAUCCGGGGCGGUUUCACUAGAGUUCCCACCAUUAUGUGCUGGCAACUAGACCCAGGGGUUGCGCUCGUUGCUGGACUUAACCAAACACCUCACGGCACGAGCUGACGACAGCCAUGCAGCACCUGUACCGCCCCCCUUGCGGGUAGCCCACUUUCAUGGGUUUAGACGGCCUUUCAAGCCUAGGUAAGGUUCUUCGCGUUGCAUCGAAUUGAACCACAUGCUCCACUGCUUGUGCGGGCCCCCGUCAAUUCCUUUGAGUUUCACCCUUGCGAGCGUACUCCCCAGGUGGAUCACUUAACGCGUUAGCUCCGGCACCGACCUUACGGUCGACACCAAGUGAUCAUCGUUUAGGGCAUGGACUAC
rnacentral:misc_RNA from 1 species